rnacentral:misc_RNA from 1 species
GAUGAAGAACGCAGCAAAAUGCGAUAAGUAGUGUGAAUUGCAGAAUUCAGUGAAUCAUCGAAUCUUUGAACGCACAUUGCGCCCCAUGGUAUUCCGUGGGGCAUGCCUGUUCGAGCGUCAUUUACCCCCUCAAGCUCCGCUUGGUGUUGGGCGUCUGUCCCGCUUCGCGCGCGGACUCGCCCCAAAGGUAUUGGCAGCGGUCGUGCCAGCUUCUCGCGCAGCACAUUGCGCUUCUCGAGGCACCGGUGGGCCCGCGUCCAUCAAGCUCACCCCCCCAGUUUGACCUCGGAUCAGGUAGGGAUACCCGCUGAACUUAAGCAUAUCAAUAAGCGGAGGA